AUUGAACGCUGGCGGCAGGCCUAACACAUGCAAGUCGAACGAGUGGCGGACGGGUGCGUAAUGUCUGGGAAACUGCCUGGUGGCGGGGGAUAACUACUGGAAACGGUAUCUCAUACCGCAUACCAUCGGAUGUGCCCAUAUGGGAUUAGUUAGUUGGUGGGGUAAUGGCUCACCUAGGCGACGAUCCGUAGCUGGUUUGAGAGGAUGACCAGCCACACUGGAACUGGGACACGGUCCAGACUCCUACGGGAGGCAGCAGUGGGGAAUAUUGCACAAUGGGCGCAAGCCUGAUGCAGCCAUGCCGCGUGUGUGAAGAAGGCCUUCGGGUUGUAAAGCACUUUCAGCGGGGAGGCGUUACCCGCAGAAGAAGCACCGGCUAACUCCGUGCCAGCAGCCGCGGUAAUUC
rnacentral:rRNA from 1 species